GGAGAGGUGUCCGAGCGGCUUAAGGAGCACGCCUGGAGAGCGUGUGGGCCCGCAAGGCCUCGCGGGUUCGAAUCCCGCCCUCUCCGCCA
rnacentral:tRNA from 1 species